CACCUGUGCCUCGUUGUCUUGUUACGCCAUGUCUGUAUAUUAAGCUCCCCUUGUGCUGUCCUUCUCAUUCUACAUCCAGGCCUGUAUCUUCCUGCAUCUCUUAAUACUUUAUAAGACAAGACCCCACUUUUUGUUGACUAACUGCAGUAAUGGGAAGAUACCUAUCUUUGGCUUUCGUGGUGUGUGCCCUGCUGCCAGUGUCGUAUGGAUUUUGCACUGCUAGGGUGCCCAAACAAGGUGAAACUCGGUGCUUCGACGAGGCGGAUAAUAAAUGGUACCCAGUUGGAUCAACUUGGAUAAACGGUGACUGCAUGAAUUGUUCCUGCGUCGGAUGCUGCGCUGUGUAUAGCAUUCCCACACAAUUUCCCGAUGACUGCGUAUCAGUGUUGGACAAAGCAGCAUGUGAAUACAAAGUGCACAAGAAGGAUGAUCCUUCUAUUGAGUGCCCAAUUUUUGGUGCCACAGGAAAGUGAUGCAGCAGUGACAUCCCUUGUUGACUGUUGAAAGUGGAAAAGAACAAUAAUAAAAAAUGCUCCCUUGCA